rnacentral:rRNA from 1 species
CCUACGGGAGGCAGCAGUGGGGAAUUUUCCGCAAUGGGCGAAAGCCUGACGGAGCAACGCCGCGUGAGGGAUGAAGGCCUCUGGGCUGUAAACCUCUUUUAUCAAGGAAGAAGAUCUGACGGUACUUGAUGAAUAAGCCACGGCUAAUUCCGUGCCAGCAGCCGCGGUAAUACGGGAGUGGCAAGCGUUAUCCGGAAUUAUUGGGCGUAAAGCGUCCGCAGGCGGUCUUGUAAGUCUGUCGUUAAAGCGUGGAGCUCAACUCCAUUUCGGCGGUGGAAACUACAGGACUAGAGUGUGGUAGGGGCAGAGGGAAUUCCCGGUGUAGCGGUGAAAUGCGUAGAUAUCGGGAAGAACACCAGUGGCGAAGGCGCUCUGCUGGGCCAUAACUGACGCUCAUGGACGAAAGCUAGGGGAGCGAAAGGGAUUAGAUACCCCUGUAGUCCUAGCCGUAAACGAUGAACACUAGGUGUCGGGGGAAUCGACCCCCUCGGUGUCGUAGCUAACGCGUUAAGUGUUCCGCCUGGGGAGUACGCACGCAAGCGUGAAACUCAAAGGAAUUGACGG